UACGGAAGGCAGCAGUGGGGAAUAUUGGACAAUGGGCGCAAGCCUGAUCCAGCCAUGCCGCGUGAGUGAUGAAGGCCCUAGGGUUGUAAAGCUCUUUUGUGCGGGAAGAUAAUGACGGUACCGCAAGAAUAAGCCCCGGCUAACUUCGUGCCAGCAGCCGCGGUAAUACGAAGGGGCUAGCGUUGCUCGGAAUCACUGGGCGUAAAGGGUGCGUAGGCGGGUCUUUAAGUCAGGGGUGAAAUCCUGGAGCUCAACUCCAGAACUGCCUUUUGAUACUGAGGAUCUUGAGUUCGGGAGAGGUGAGUGGAACUGCGAGUGUAGAGGUGAAAUUCGUAGAUAUUCGCAAGACACCAGUGGCGAAGGCGGCUCACUGGCCCGAUACUGACGCUGAGGCACGAAAGCGUGGGGAGCAAACAGGGAUUAGAUACC
rnacentral:rRNA from 1 species